rnacentral:rRNA from 1 species
UACGUAGGGUGCGAGCGUUGUCCGGAAUUACUGGGCGUAAAGCGUGCGCAGGCGGCCCGUUAAGACAGGUGUGAAAUCCCUGGGCUCAACCUAGGAAUUGCGCUUGUGACUGGCGGGCUCGAGUACGGUAGAGGGGGGUGGAAUUCCUGGUGUAGCAGUGAAAUGCGUAGAGAUCAGGAGGAACACCGAUGGCGAAGGCAGCCCCCUGGGCCUGUACUGACGCUCAUGCACGAAAGCGUGGGGAGCAAACAGG